rnacentral:pre_miRNA from 1 species
UCAUUUUUGUGAUUUGCAGCUAGUAAUCUCAAGGUCCAGUUGCAUAGUCACAAAAGUGAUC